rnacentral:ncRNA from 1 species
CUGAAAACAAAGAGAAAGAAGAGUAAUUUAAUUCGAAUUUACAGCGAGUCUCGUUAGGUGUGAGGAGAUAAAGGUAGAAUUAAAUGAAAAUCACUUUCGAGUUCUAUUUCUUAAUGUUUUAGUAAGAAAUAGUGGGAGCACCCGUUAUAGUGCCUGCGUAUCGCUGAAGUUUCUUCGGCCGCACGUGAAAGGUAUUGCUAGUAAUAGCAAUAUAAAUAAAGGGUGGUACCACGCUAGAAGCGUCCCUCAA